UUUUUUUUUUUUUUUUUGAGAAAGGCGGUUUUUGUGUUGUACUACCGAAGGACCUGUAGAUGGAGACACCACCACCUUUGAAGAUGUUCUCUUCUCUUAUUCACUUGUGCUGGUGGCUAGGGAAGAUGUGGUGCGGCUGAAUGUGGUGCACCUUAAAAAUACAAUAAUGAUGAAAAAACACCGAUGGAGAACAGUAGAACUAAGGAGGGGCCUACAUACCAAGGUGAAAUUACCCCAACCUUAGUAAUCUUCUUUUACUUCCCUUUUUUGCCUUUGUAUUUCUGCCCUAUUCAUAGUUUUUCCCUUUUAUGCUCUCCAUCAAAAUGACUCCCAUCAAAAUCCAAUUGAUGUUAUAUUUCAAAACCCUUUUUAUACCUUAAAUUAUUGAAUUAAUUAUUAUUUUCAUUGCCUUUCUGGACGUGUUUUAUAUAUAUAUAUAUUUUAACAAUAGCUAGGAUCUUUGUCCAAUUCAGAUUUUUGGAUUCAAUCUUGUUGCAGACGAUCUGAUAUUUUGGCAUUGGUUUCUUCUUGCUGUGAUUUUCACUUAAUUUGAUUGUUUAUGUUCAAUUUCUUUUAUUUGGGAUGUAGUUUUUUGUGCUUGAAAAUUGAAACUGAUAAAUGCCAAUGUUGCUUCAUAUGGACUAUUAAUGGCAUAUUGCUUUCUGGUAGACAUAAUGUCAAUCUCAAUGGUGCUUAAAAAAUGUUAUUUUUUUUAGCUUGUGAUAAUGAAAGAAGAAAAUUAAGCCUUGGCCAAAGGAUGCUCUUGAACAUAUAUUGCUAAAGAACUCCUUGAGACUCCUAAAUGGUUGAGAAUUCAUCUUAUGUGGCAUAAAGCUCCAACAUAAAACUAUAGUGAUUUUGGUGAUAGUUACACUUAUCGGUUGAGUGAUCAAGAGCGCACAGAAUAAAAUUUGAUUAAAUGCAUUUAGUAAUUCCCCAUAUUAGAUGGCUUGCAUUGGCCAUGGGCAAGCAAAAUUGUGAGGGAGUGUAUGUACUCCACAGGAAGAACAUAAAACUGAUCCAUUAUACUUCAAUAUUUAUUUCUUCAGGAAUUUUCUUUCGUAUUGAAUUAUCAUUUAAAACUCUUUUUGGAAUAACUGAAUUUUAUUCUUGUUUGACACUGACAUUUGAGCUUGCAUUUCCAGGUCAUAGUCUUUGAGACAUUGAGGUGAAGAAUGCUUUGCUAUCCGCUAUGAUAACUUCUAUGGUAGCUUGGUCAUGAUUUCUUUAAUCUGUGUUGUUUGUGUAAUACUAUACUAACAGUGAUUGUGUCAUAUGGAAUUUUUUGUUUUUUUGUUUUUGUCCUUUGUUACUGAUACUGUUGUCUAUAAUCAUUUUCAUCUGCAGGAGCCUUCUGUAUCUGUGCUGAAGGAUACAAUCAUCGAGGCUCUUUUGAUCUUGUUUAAUUACUAUCAUUUCUAUCAGCAAUUCCCUCAGUGGAUGUGGUUUUUGAUAAGCAAAAGAUGAUUGGUUGCUUAUAUCUCAUGGCUGCUGUUUUUGUUCUAUCAAGCAAUGUUGUAUUGCAGGUGAAUUUUCUGUUGGAUUUGUUCUCUGUUUUGAUUGCUUGUUAAUUGAGUUGUUUGAGUUGUUGCAGGCUUCUACUUUGGGUGAUUUUCCUGCACCGAUGUCACUGUGUGCCAUAACAUCCUUGAUUGGUGUGGUUAUAACUGCAAUUGUUCAAUGGUUUCAAGAUCACAAUUUUGGAAUUACUUGGCCUCUCAUGGAACUUAGGGACCUCAUUGGCUAUUCCUUACUGGCAGGUGGUGUGGGUGGAGCUUGUGUAAGCUUCAAUGGAUGGGCAAUGAAGAAAAGGGGUCCAGUUCUAGUGUCCAUGUUUAGCCCCAUUGGAACAGUCAUCUCAGUUGUUCUGAGUAUUAUUACCUUGGGUGAAAGCAUUAGAAUAGGAAGCCUUGCUGGAAUGCUGCUCAUGUUUACUGGUCUAUACUUCGUGCUAUGGGCGAAAGGAAAAGAAGGAUACCUCGAUGAGUUCGACUCGACGAAGCCUCUGUUAAGUUAAUAGCGUAAUUAUUCGGAUAGGUUUCUACUUUGUUUCAUCAAUAGGCCUGUAGCUAGAAGGUAGAAAAGAAGUGAAUGGACACGGCAAAAAUAGUUAAGAAUUAUGGAGUUUAGUAGACAAAUUCUAUGGUUUGGUUCUGAAUAUGGAGUAAUACUUGACAUGAAUCACAAAAAGGAGCAUAGAGAAAUAAAUGUAUAUAUUAAUUAUAAGCUCCCUGCAUGCUCUUCUACUACAUGUUUCUGGAAAACAUGAUGAUCAGCUUGCUUAUAUAUGUUGCUUAGUUGCA
rnacentral:misc_RNA from 1 species